UGGUCGUCGCGCUGUCAUCACUUCCCGUGGUCGUCGCGCGAUUCACCCUCGUUGUCGAGCCGUAUCAGUUCACCUUCGUCGUCGCCCCGUCGUCAGUUCUCUUCGUCGUCGCGCCGUCAUCGGUUCACUUUCAUCGUCGCGCAGUCAUCGGCGUGUCUAUGUUCUCUGGUGACAUUGCUCUGAUUUUGGUUGUCUUGCAUCAAUAUUAGGCCAUCUCCUUUUAUCUAAAUCAAGAGAAACAAAUUUUGUUUUUUUUUUUUGCUGUGUGUGUUUUGAAUCGAAGAUGGUCUGGAAAGAAAGAAAGCAAGUGAAGGAGGUAGACAUUACUUGGUUUGAGCUUUGGGUUGCUACAUUUUUGCAGUAAAUGGGGAUGCACCUAAUCCUGUAGGAUUUUAGUCAGUGAUGCUUUAAAUUUUGGGGGUCCCUUGAGGUUUAUUGAGAUAAACUUUACUUAAAGAGCACCAUUUUCAUCCCACCAUCCUUCGUCCUAUCCUGUGCUUGUAUCCAAGAUGUUGCAUUAUGUUUGGCUUGUCUCUUUUUCACAGUAAAGUUCCUUAAAUUGUAUCCAAGAUAAUUCUUCUUUAGCUACAGGUGAUGGAUAAGGAGUGGACGAAAUUUCCAAGGAUUAGUAAUGAGUAUAUAAAGGGUGUUGAAUCAUUUCUUGAUUUUGCUUACACAAGAGGAAGACCUCAAGGACGUGAGAUUUUAUGCCCAUGUGCUAAAUGUAAAAAUUGUAUUUGGGCUAGACGACAUGUGAUCAACGAACAUCUAAUUAUCACAGGAUUUCUUGAAGGGUAUGAUCUUUGGGUCCAUCAUGGAGAAGAAAUACCUUCGCCCACUAGUAAAGAUGAAGA